UACGGAGGAUGCAAGCGUUAUCCGGAAUGAUUGGGCGUAAAGCGUCCGUAGGUGGCUAUUCAAGUCUGCUGUUAAAGCGCAGGGCUUAACCCUGUAAAGGCGGUGGAAACUGGAGAGCUAGAGUGUAGUAGGGGUAGAGGGAAUUCCCGGUGUAGCGGUGAAAUGCGUAGAGAUCGGGAAGAACACCAGUGGCGAAAGCGCUCUACUGGGCCACAACUGACACUGAUGGACGAAAGCUAGGGGAGCGAACGGG
rnacentral:rRNA from 1 species